rnacentral:rRNA from 1 species
AGGGCACCACCAGGAGUGGAGCCUGCGGCUUAAUUUGACUCAACACGGGGAAACUUACCCGGCCUGGACACUGGAAGGAUUGACAGAUUGAGAGCUCUUUCUUGAUUCAGUGGGUGGUGGUGCAUGGCCGUCCUUAGUUGGUGGAGCGAUUUGUCUGGUUAAUUCCGAUAACGAACGAGACUCUAGCCUAUUAAAUAGGCUCCCGGCUUUUAAACGCCGGGAGGACUUCUUAGAGGGACAGGUGGCGGUUCAGCCGCACGAAAGAGAGCAAUAACAGGUCUGUGAUGCCCUUUGUUGUCCGGGGCCGCACGCGCGCUAUACUGAAGAGAUCAGCGUGCUUUAUGUUCCUGCUCCGACCGGAGUGGGGAACCCAGUGAACCUUCUUCGUGAUUGGGAUAGAAGAUUGUAAUUAUUCUUCUUGAACGAGGAGUUCCCAGUAAAUGCGAGUCAUAAGCUCGCGUUGAUUACGUCCCUGCCCUUUGUACACACCGCCCGUCGCUACUACCGAUUGAACGAUUU